GCAUGCCAAAUGGGGAAGGGUGGGCUUGGGAGAGUCCCUCCCUAGAGGAGGGAGAAGGAGCCUGCAGAACAGGUUCAAGGGAAUUCAAGGGCUGCCUGGGAGCCUGCACCCCUGUUCCAGCCGAACAUCUUUGUCUCUCGUCUCUCUUGUUCAAUUUUACUGCAUCCCAGUUUUUCUAAAGUCAGGCUCUCAGCAGCCGGGGAUGCUGGCUUCAAGGUCCACAGGAAUGGUGCCUGGGGAAUUUGCAUAGCUACCUUGGCUACAGGCAAGCAAAAGGUUGCCAUGGAAACCCUUCAUCCCUUCUCAGACCUGCAGCCUGUUCUCCCUCCCCUGAUGCUCCAUCCCUCACCUCCCCACCACAAAGGGGCACGGGAAACCAGAGCGCCCCAACAAAGGCAGAUGUACUUAAGGGUUAUCUUUUGAUGCGAGCUGGCUUCCUUGCCUCUGGUCCCCUUCAAACCCAUCCUUGCGUGCUGCCCAAAUAAUUAUUACUUGUCCAGUUCAGAUCAUGUCAUUUCCCUGCUCAAAACCCUCCGUGGCUCCCCAUUGCUGAAGGAGCAAACACAAACCCCUCGUUCUGCUAUUUAAGUCUCCCUCUCUGUCUCUCUUCUCCAACUCAGCUGCACUGAAAUCCCAUCAGUCUGUGGUUUCCCAGAGGGAUCCCUACAGCCUUGUUCAUUGUUGCUUCCCUGGUGCCUCGUAUAGCUCCUGGUGCGUAGUAGGCACUUGGGAAGGGGGAAAAAUAUAAAAGAAGGGAGGAAUAAAAAGUGCCAACUUUUCCUACCCUCAACAUAGCCUUUGCUUCAGUUUCCUGUGAGACAAAUUGGAGUUUGACAUCCCUCCUCAAGAUGCCUCCUCCAAGACCAGGUAGGUGCACACCUCAACUCCUGCCAAAUUCUUCCUAUCCUUAGAGCGCUCAAUGCAGAUGCCACUUCCUCCAGUAAGACUUCCUAGAUACACUAUUUAAAACAAAUAUCUCUCUGUUCUAGAGUUCCCUGUGGCUGAGCUGUGUGUGCAGAGAGCACCUUUCUCUCUCCUUGGGAAGCCCUUUGAAUGUAGAAACUCUGCAUUCCUCAUUCCUGUGCCCUCCCUCUCCCCAGUGGCUAGGACUUAACACCAAAGGGUGCUCAGGAAACAAAUGGAAGCAGGGCACUAACCAACUCCAGGAGGACUGGGAGCAUGUUUCCCGCUGAAUCCCUGCCAUCUUGACCACUGCCUGGCAAGAGAAGACACUCUACCAACAUUUUUUUAGGUGCAGUGAGAUUAGUGGUAAUUUAAAAAGCAGGAUUGCCUCUGUGUCAAUUUCCCGCUAAUGAGCAAAACUCGCCGUGUAAUUGCUAUGUAUUGAACGAAGCAACAAUACAUUUUCAGUGGCUGUUUAAUAUGCUGGGGCUUGGUUUAACAGAUGUUCUGAGACUCGCUUUCCAAGACGGAGGAGCCAAGCCCAGAAGAAGAAGGUGACAUUUCCCUUUCUUUUGCCUCUGUCCAGUGCUGCAUCCCUUGGAGGGCAUGAGGCAAGGCCACGUGAGACACAGUCGGUGCUAGAUUCCUGGAGGCAGAGCUGAGGGUAGGUCUUGAAACCAGCGAGGGUAGCAAGCAGAGGAAGAUGACGAUCCAUUCCUCUUCUGAUCUUCACUAUAAGGGGCACCAAGCCCUGGGUCAUGACAAGGUCUUAUAUUUAGCAUGGACUUGCAACCAGUAAGUGCUGUCCCUUGCUAGCUCUGUGACCCUCUCAUGUGACUUUAACCUCUCUUGAGUCUCAGCUUCACCAUCUUUCGAAUGGGGAUAACACGUAACAUAUCUCAUGAGGAUGAAAUGAUGAACGAACAGGGCCGUUCCCCUGCCUGGACACUCUUCUCUAGAGUGUCUGCAUGUCUCUCUCCCUCACUUGGGUGCAUGGACGCCUACUGUCCAUUGCCCUCCUCUGUCUGCCUCUGGCAAAUGCUUUGUGCUGGGGGUUGGUGGAUAUGAAGGUCAAAUGUCACCAUCUUCCUAGGCCUUUCCAGAAUGCCCUCUUGCCUGCUCUCUCCUUGACAUGCUCCACGUUUCUCCCAUAGCACCUGACACCCUCCAACACUCUGUGUUAACUCACAUAUUUUUGUUUGUUUGUUUCUCACCCUCUGUCUCUCCUUAUUAGAAGGUAAGCUCCACGAGGGCAAGGAUUUAUGGCCUUUUUCUUCCAUGGAUGACUCUGAAACGCCUAGAACAGUACCUGGCACACAGUAGGUGCUCCACUAAUGCUGAAUGAAUGAUGCAUGUGGAAGGCUGAGUCUGGUUCCCACAACACAGUAGUAGCUCAAUAAUGAUAGCAUAUAACAUUAUUAUUUAAUUAUUAUUAAAUUGCCUCAAGCAAUUUUGUGUCCACUGUCUGUCAGGACUGGAUGGGACCAGAUGCCAUUAACUACAUACUCAGUCCUCCCAACAACCAAGUAUAAGGCAGGUACUAUUAUCGUGCCCAUUUGACAGAGGCUCAGGAAUGACUGCCCACAUUCACACAGUUGACAAGGAAUAGGGGGCUGAUUCAGCAUCACACCUAGGCCUGAGUCCCAAGUCCUCUUUUCAGGACUUGGGUGCCUGAAUGUGGGACGUACCUGAUGAAUGGGACUCUCCUUCCAUCAAAGAGGAGGGGCUGUUUGGUUUGAGCCUUUGAAAAAAAGUCAAACACAAGAGGAGAGAGGGUAUAUGAGACAGAGGGAACAGCAUGAGCAAAGGUGUGGGGGUCUACCAGAUGUAUUUCUUGUGCAUCCUCUAUGUGCCCAGCCCAAGGCAAGAUGCAAUGGUGUGUGUGUGUGUGUGUGUGUGUGUGUGAGUGUGUGUGUGUGUGUGUGUGUGUCUGUAUGUGUGUAUGUGU
rnacentral:lncRNA from 1 species